rnacentral:rRNA from 1 species
CGGGUGAGUAACAUAUCGGAACGUACCGAGCAGUGGGGGAUAACUAAUCGAAAGAUUAGCUAAUACCGCAUAUCUUCUGAGGAAGAAAGCAGGGGACCAUUUGGCCUUGCGCUGUUUGAGCGGCCGAUAUCUGAUUAGCUAGUUGGUGGGGUAAAGGCCUACCAAGGCGACGAUCAGUAGCGGGUCUGAGAGGAUGAUCCGCCACACUGGGACUGAGACACGGCCCAG